rnacentral:rRNA from 1 species
UACGAAGGGUGCAAGCGUUAAUCGGAAUUACUGGGCGUAAAGGGUGCGUAGGCGGUUGUUUAAGUCUGUCGUGAAAUCCCCGGGCUCAGCCUGGGAAUGGCGAUGGAUACUGGGCAGCUAGAGUGUGUCAGAGGAUGGUGGAAUUCCCGGUGUAGCGGUGAAAUGCGUAGAGAUCGGGAGGAACAUCAGUGGCGAAGGCGGCCAUCUGGGACAACACUGACGCUGAAGCACGAAAGCGUGGGGAGCAAACAGG